GGGUUGUGAGGUUAAGCGACUAAGCGUACACGGUGGAUGCCCUGGCAGUCAGAGGCGAUGAAGGACGUGCUAAUCUGCGAUAAGCGCCGGUAAGGUGAUAUGAACCGUUAUAACCGGCGAUACCCGAAUGGGGAAACCCAGUGUG
rnacentral:rRNA from 1 species